rnacentral:misc_RNA from 1 species
UAGAUUAGGCUAGGUUAUGCUAAGUUAGAUAAAGAUUAGUUAGGUUAGUUUAGAUUAAGUUAGAUUAGGCUAGGUUAGACAAGGUUAGAUUAGAUUAGGUUCAGAUAGAUUGUAUGCCAAAAUAAAGACCGUAGAAAGCAAUAAACACAAGAGAGAAACAAAGAUGUUACAGGUGAUUGCGAUACAGUUUAUGAGAUGUGUGGCAUAUUUAUUGAUGAUGGCGAAGAUUUAUGUUGAUGCUGAUUCAAGAAAAUGAUGAAAUAUUGAUGAUGUUGAGGAAGAUUAAUAGGCACUAGCGGUGACACCGGUGCCAGAUGAUGAUGGAGCAGUGACAGAACAGGUAGCAGUAACUGCAGCACGAGCAGUGAGAGUAGCAGGAGCAGAGGAGUUCUUAAGAGGCUUCUCAGCGUGUGAGGACAAGAGAGCAAGCAGGUUAUGCAGGGUUGUCGUCAGUGUUCGUCGUCAGUGCAGCGACGAUUGCUCUCUUAAAUCAGGCUUAUCUAUUUCUGAAGGCCUGAUACAGUUCCAGCCCCGCUCCUGCGCCACGCCGUCAACACAAGGUCGCCCCUACAGCAUGGGGGGCACCAUGGACAUCACUUAUGAAGGGCUCCUGUUGGAACUAACCACCAGCACCCUCCCGCUCGACCUCAACGCCACUCUGGCCGGCGGGGGGCUCCCUGGCACCUUCGGGAACGUCUCCUGGCACUCCUGCGACAGCUCCGAGCCGCUUCUUAUGAGGGAAAACUUCCCUAACCCAAACCUGGAAGACGCUUUGCGCCUCGACGUGUACGAGAGUCUUCAGGUGGCGCUGAUGGUGCUGGUCGUGGCGAUGUCGGUGAGCGGCAACCUGGCGGUGAUGGUGGUGGUGUACCUCAACUCCUUCCUCCACUCUACCAUCAACUACUACCUGGUCAACCUGGCCGUGGCUGAUCUCCUGAUUAGCGUUUUCUGCUGGCCGACCCUCGCAAACCGCCUCACCCAUCCACUCUACCUCCUUGGACGACCUCUCUGUAAGAUCAGCGUCCUUGCUCAAGGGACGUGUGUGACCGUGUCGGUGUUGACCCUGGCCACGGUGGCGUGUGACAGGGUGUACGCGGUCCUUCUGCCCAUGAGGGCGCGAAGUUCCUCUUCCAGACCACUGACCAUCAUCAUCAUUCUCUGGCUCUUCUCCUUCGCCGUCGCCUUCCCUUCCUUCUACGUCAGGGAAACCAGAGUGUUUCAGUGGAACGACCUGGUCGAGGAGAGCUGUGGAGACAUUAUCUGCACCGCCGCCCACCUCCAAGUCUUCACAUACUACCGCAUCCUGCUGCUGGCGACGCUGUUUUUCGUGCCCGGGGCGGUGAUGGUGCUGGCCUACACUCUCAUAGUAUUCCGUCUGUGGUGUGUGAGGCGGGGACCUUCCGACCCGCACAGCCAGGCCACCUGCCCGGAGCCCCACACCAGAGCCAAGCGUAAGAUUGUGAAGAUGACCGCCAUGGUACUUCUAGCCUUCACCGCUUGUUGGGCGCCCCUCCACUCCCUCAUUAUGUACGACCUGGUCGUUGACCACCCGAUGCCGGACUGGUUCGAGACUGCGCUCUUCUGGGCCUACUGCCUCGGCUACUCCAACUCCGCUCUCAACCCUCUCCUCUACGGCGGCUUCAGCGACAACUUCAGGCUGGGCUUCAGGAAGAUCCUGGCUCGCUGGAGGAGGACUUCAGAGGCGAGUAAGGUUGUCUCGGAGCACGAUUAUGACCCCAUGUCUUGCGAGAUCACCAGUGUGUAGUGAUGUGCUCAACUUGUGCUGCCACCAAUGUGUAGUGAUGUGCUCAACUUGUGCUGCCACCAGUGUGUAGUGAUGUGCUCUGAUGUGCUCACCUGUUAAUUUUACUGUGUAGUGAUUUGCCUAAAUGUGCUUUAACAUGACUGCUUCCUGCCACCAUCAGUGUGCAGGGAUGUGCUUCAAUGUGAUGUACCAACACCACAACCGCAGCGCGGGUACAGCGUCCACCUUCCUCUCUCGGUUCCCAAUCUCCAGCAGGACAUCCAACUCGAUCUCCCGUCAGACCUCCGGUUCACUCCCCCGCACACCUUUCUCCCAUCAGACCUCCU